AAAGCUUUGUGCUUUGCCUCUUUCAUCCUGUUCUAGGUUUGGGUAUAGAAGAGUUAUUGAUAUUAUACUAUUUCAAAUGUUUUCCUUUUGUUUUUGAAUCAGAUAUCAUGAACACAGCUUUCAUUUUAAUUUUCUGAUGAGUUACAUCCUUGGUACAACUAUUACUUGUAUAUUGUUAAUCAUUUCAUCAGAGAAAAAUUGCUACUGAUAAUGGUGGUAGUGAUUUCAUCUACACUUAUGGGGCCCAAACCAGAUGAAUUUCUUUUCAUUUUGUUGAACUACAUUGGUCUCCCUAACUUCACUGAUGUUCCAAGGUAUCCUGAAGGAUCAUGUCCACAGUUUUGAGUAGUAGUUAUUCAAUACAUUUUUUAAUUAUUUAGGCGAGUGUAAUAGAGUUUUAUCAUGAUUUCAAAAAUUAUCAUGAUUUCUUCUUAUGUUGUGAUUUAUGUAUUUAAGGAAUUACAUGUGACAUCAAUCUGCUAAAAACACAAACCUAAUGAAAUCAGUAGUUUAACUGAACUUGAACUAUUUUCAUUAACACUUUAUCUCAUCGUUCUCAAAGUGUAUUACAGUUCUGCCUUCUGUCCUGUCAAUAAAUUCUCUCCACAGUCAUUAUUUGGAUUUAGGGGAUGGAGAGAUAUUACUUUGCGGCCAUUGAAAAUGCUACUUACACUGCACUCAGGGUCAGCCGCUUUGGACCCAGAGAAGAGCAUGUCUGGUUGCAUGCGGGUUGAUGCCCCAGGUCCCGCCUCUGAGAAAAAGAGAUCAGACCUCUACUCUUGCCUGAUGCAUCUAAAACAAAAAGGGGGAACUGUAGAGAGCUGCAGAAUGCUAUGCCUUAAAGAUGGAGCUGGUUUCCGCCUUCCACCUUCCGGAUGGUGAGUGCUCUCUGUCACGAACAAUUCCACAUUUGGCUAAGGCUGAGGAUCUGGCUUGCUUCCAUGUAUGUGGACCUAUCUGCAUUGCCCACAUGGCAUGCCUGGGUUGGCUACCCAGAGGCUAUUUAAGCUGUGGGCUGGCUUUCCCCAGGGUCCGAGGAUUGUUCAAGGUUCCUGAAUAAACUGCAUUGAAAAAAAAAAAAAAAGAAAAUGCUACUUACUUAGGAAGUACCUGUCAGGGGAGACUCAGUUUAUUUGCUUAAAUUCUGAAGGACUGUUUCUUUAAGUUCUUUUCUCAAAAUAAAGUGAAGAAAAGACUGAAAAUCAGAUUUUAUCUGUGAAUGACGUGCAUACCAAGAAAAAUCCCAAAAGAUUACCCAUUAUCUUCUUUGCUAAAAAGAAUACAUUUCUGAAAGAUUAUAAUAUGGUAAUGUUUAAAAGCUUGGCAUACCACCAACAUAUUCUGGAAUUUCUCUUUAAUUACAAAUGUAACAAUUUGCUAAGCAUAUUAAAAUUAAAGUGAUUUUUAUUUGGAAA